AUGUUUUCUGGUUGUGCAAACAAAUAUUUCAAUAAUGAGAAAUAUGUGCGAUUUUACAAUUCCGAUAAUGUGUUUAAAAAAUUCAAAGUUGUAGAGUUCCCUAUAUCGUUUGUCGGCCUGGCUACAACACAAGAAUUAGAUGUCGAAAUUGAUCUUAACACACGUGCUUAUCUCAAAACAAUGCACGAUGGAUCAUUAAUUAAACUGAAUGACGCUCGUGAAAUAUCUGCUUCUCACAGAGCCUUCGACAUCACACAAAUUAAUAGCCAUGUUAUACAAAUCACUUUUAUUCCUAAAACUGAAUGUAUAUCCAGAGCUAAACGUAAAAAACAGUCGGACAACAGAUUUGUGUUUGAUUUGCGCCUAAUUAAGGUGGAUGGCGUGAACUGUUGUGAUAACGAAUUGCAUUCUGAAAUUGGAAGAUAUUACAUAAGUGGACAAUUUGAAUAUUGUAAAAUUGCUCAUCAUCCUAAAGUAAUCAGUUUCGGUGAAGUGAUUAUGAAUACUGUAGUAAAAAAUACUUACGUAUACGAAAUGAAUCUAACGUAAUCGCAGCUAAAGUACAAUAUGUAAGGAUGCCAGGAUUUGAAGUGGCACCUGAAAGAUUUACUAUACUUCCAAAUUCUUCUAAGCGAAUAUGUGUAUCAGUUAAACCCAAUUGUCUAAAAGUGGGUAAUACGCUUAUAUUUAAAAUCACAAAUCCGCAUAGCGUAUUAGACGAAUCAUUUAAUAGUAAAAGUGAAAAUGCUAACUAUAUCAAGUAUCUUAUUUCUACUGAAUUAAAUGUAAUUGUGCUAGGAAGACUUCGAGACGUAAAAAUAGAAUCAAUGCAUAAGCUCAUUGAACAAGACAGAAAGUAUACAUACGUACAGGAAGAGUUACAUAUCCAUCAACAAAGAAAAGAAGUAGCUAACCAGCAAUUACAGGUUUGCAAGUCAACAUAUGCAAAAAUGCCACUUAAAGAAAAUUUUAGUACAAAAAAAGAGAAAUGUUAUUUAGAAGCACAGCUGAAGGCGAAAAAAACGCCGGAUGACUUUUGUAAAAAACUUCGUCAAGGACUAACUCCUUAUGACCUUUUCGACAUUUUGUUUCUACCUUUUUCUAUAAACUUUGGUAGAGUAGGGUUGUCCACAUGUGGCGAACAAGAUGUGAUAAUUAAAAAUAAGACGCGACUCGAUGUAACAAUUCAAUUCAUAAAGGAUGAGUGCGUUUUAUAUACUGACAAAAAAUUAUCAAGUACAAUCAUAAAAGUAAAAGGUUCUUCUGAAGUCACAUUAAAAAUAUUUUGCUUGGGCUUUGUUGAAGGAAAUUAUACAGGGACUUUUGAAUACAUAGUUGAAAAUAAGUAUUACAAAAAGCAUCCAUACUGUCUUCAAGUAGGUAACCCCACUUUGAUGAUACAAGAUAAAAGUUUGAAAUUCGGCAUGGUUACAACUGAGAGUUUCAUUACAUCAGUACCAAUCAGAAUAUUUAAUUACUUUAAUAUUACAGUGGAUUUUAAAUGGGAAGAUUUACCUUCUGAUGUUCCUUUCGAAAUUAUUCCUAAUGCUGGAUCUAUACCCAAACAUGGUUGUAAAAUUUGUGAUGUUUUAUAUAUUUGCAAACCCACGAAAACAAAAACGCAUGAAGUCGACUUUAUAUCUGAAAGUAAAACUACAAAAAUUGUUCCAGUUGAACUUAGCAUAAUUACUCGGAAGCUCUCAAUAAAGUUUUUGCAACCUGCAGUCGUAUUUAAAGACAUUGCUCUUAAUUUAGAAACAGUAGAAAGAGUAAAAUUAGAAAAUUCUUCCAGAGAUCGCUCUCUUCCAUGUUGUAGAACCUCUCAUUCCGGGACUAAAAGUAGAGCCCAUGAACGGAAUAAUACGCCCAAAAAUGAUAAUGACUUUUGAAAUUACCGUUAAGAUUUCUUGUGUAUUAGAAUUUGCCUUUGAUAUUUGUUUGAAAAUAAACAAUAAAGAAAAUGUUGUGCUACCAGUAAGUGGUAAUGUGAUUGAGCCAAAAAUAAUAAUACACCCUAAGAAUAUUUAUAUGGCACGAAUACCCUGCUUUAUGAUAACGUACGUGCCACUCACAUUUCAAAACUUAAGUGCACUAAGAACUGAAGUAGACGUACUAGAUACUGGAGAUGAGAAUGUGUUUGAGGUGUACAUUGCCCACGGGAAUGAAAAGCAAAGAGUGUUUCACUUUUUUGUUGAUGGCGGACAAGCGAAAACUGUAUUCAUAAAAGUUUGCGAUGUUUUUCGCAGAGAGUAUGAAAUGUACGUGCCAUUUCGAAUAAACGGAUUAUUGGGACCACCAGAUCAUAAUUCUUGGACUACAGAGCUGCAACAUUACGUUGGUGAAUAUGAACAAUUUUACGAAAACAACUCCAAAGUGAAAUUAAAAACCGUAAACAAAGACAUCAGUUACUGCCGAAUUGCAGGAGUGACAUAACUGUGCCCUGGAUAAUAUUUUCAAUUGAUAAAUUUGAAAUAGAAUACAUACCACAUGGUAGCAAUUCUAUAGAGUUCACUAUGACUAACGUGUCAAAAUAUUACCUAUACAUAACUAUAUUAACUUCAAAGAUAUCACCAAAUUUCUCUUUAAACUUAAACACAGAAAUCAAUGAUUCAGUUAUAAAUGAAUCUCAUAUUAAAUUUGAAUUGGAUCGAAAAAAAGAAGUAUUAUUAUCUUUAAAAUUCCAUCCAAAAAGUCACGGAAAAUUCGUUGCAACUGCAUUGUUAUUUCUAGAUAAACAAAUGACUAUACCUUACUAUAAUCUAACUUUCUUUGGGAAAAGACAGGCGCCUGUUAUGGUUCCUAGUACAACCCGCCUAAUCUUUCCACCAUGCUAUGUUGGAACGGAGAUCAAACGUAUUAUUACUGUCAAAAUGGAAGCUGAAUCUGACAUGGAUUCAUUUCGAUGUGUGUCUAAAGAAGAAUCAAACUUAUCCGUAAAAUUCAUUGACUUUGAAGUUGUAGGAGAACAGGAUGGUGCGCUUACAGUUUUAACAGUGGAAAUCAAAGUUUGCUGUCAAACUACUUACGCACGAAACAUAACUUUGAGUUUCCACCACGAAUGCGGUUCAGGCUGCGAAGUGGAAGUACACUUUUGCUAUACACAUUGCGCGUUAACCCUACACGCAAACUGUUUUGUGAAGCCUGCUGACAACCCUUAUCCCUAUUUUCCUUUAAGCUCUCAAAGUACACUUUAUGAAUACAUGGAACGAUGCUCAAUAUUUUUAGAGAAAUGGAUGUUUCAACAAGGAUUUCGCAGAGACUUGUAUCCUGUUAUUCCCGAUACUUUCCAUGCUAUAUCUUCUGCAAUUUCAUCACAACCUAGUGGCACUAAAACGAAAGGAAUCAACGUGUCGUUUUUAAAUUUUGUCCGACGGAUUGCAGGACCUUUAAUGAAACAUAUUCGCAAAAUUUCAAUCCACGGAGUAGACGAAUCUUUUAAAUGUGUUAAAGAAAUUCAUGAUACAUACAGAGAUUAUAAAUCUAUUAAAAUCCCGCGGUGCUGAUUUGUGGGUACUAAAAGCGAGAUUCCUGUUGAGCUACGAACAAUUUGUCAUAUACUCAGAAAAUGUUACUCCGAAAUGCAAUGCUGAUAUUUUAUUAACGCAAGAACUUUUAGAAAACAGUAAACUAUUCAAUCGCUUAAAUAAACAGAGUUGGAUUGAUUUUAUUUUGCAAAGUUACAAAGUUUUUGUUAUGGAUAGCUGUUUCUUUGAAUGUGUUUGUGUGAGUUCCCAGCCUAGAGACAUAGUCAAGGUAAUUGUCGAUUGGUAUAACGAGCACAUAAUGAUACAACACAAUAAGUUGCGUGGGAAAGACAAACCCGUGAAAGUUCUUACAAACAUCACAACGGAUUUGUCGGAUGGCAUUGCUAUAGCAUCUACAAUUCUAAAUUAUUGCCCUUUUAUGGAGGAACAUUUCUCAAUAUUUUGUGAAGUGGACCAGGAUGCUAAAGAAGGAGCGAUCAUCAACAAUGCGUGCCUAAUCAUUGAAGCGAUGAAUCAACUACGAUUAUAUUUUCCCCUUGUGAGCAAAGAUUUUUACGUCCGAAUUUUUUACAAAUGUUAUUUCUAUCUAUACACCUUUAUGUCACGCUACCAAUGUUUAAACCGAAAGAUACCAUAAAACUUAACCCUCCUUUAUUGCGAAGUUCCACACGCCAAGUUUCUAUAUGUCCGUCGAGUCAAGAAUCAUUAAUAUUUAAUUACAUGAUCCUAAAUAAUAAUGGAAAUAAUUUUAUAGUUGAAAAAUCUACAUCUGGUGAUAACGGAAAGAAAAUGUUUUUGAGUGUAAAAUACAUAGCUAAUUUUGUUUCUGAAGAAAGUUGUAUCCUUCUUGUACACGGAUACAACAAAACAAGGAUUUUCGAUACAUACAUUGUCUUUCUUCUCCGCGGACAAGUCGGCGUAUUAAACCCUUUAAGAAAAUCUAAGGUAACGGGACCGCUUUACCGACCUAAUAAAGUGGAUGUAUUAGUAUCUUCACCGUUUGCAGUAUCCGCCACCUUUAAAAUAUACGUCAGCGAUAAUGAGCCUACUAUUCCCGUAAAAUUUGAAGAUUCGAAUACACGCAGGUUAUUUGUACGACGCCUUAAUCUUAUAGAUAAAGAAAUAACUUUAAGUGGUUUGCCUAAAGAAAGUGGUCAAGAAGUACAAGAACAUAAACUAUAUCUCCAAUUAAUUUGCCUCAGUACUCAAGUCGGUAACACAUGGCUUUGGUUUAGAAGCAGUAUUGGGGAAUUCUUUAUACGAGUUACUACACAACCUCGUUGGGAUCUCGCUAUAGACACUCUCCAAGCGAAAGUGCAGACUUGGCCAAUGGACCCUUGCAGUUGUGGCGAAGCUUGUGAAUGCUAUAGAACAACCAUCUUAAUGAUCCCACAUCGCAACGAAUUAAUGGUUAAAUCAUUGCGUUACGCUUUAAUUGAAAAUGCAUCGGAUAUUAUGAUGCAGAUAUUUGAUCAAUUGAUAGAAACUACAACUGGCAAGAUAAUUCUCAGUAUGCUGCUAGCUGAAGGCGGGACCAACAUGACGGAUGUUCACCAUAUUCUUCGCAGUGAGACGACAUACCGUAUCACGUCUCGAGCUCUCCUGCCUCGGUUAGACCACGUGACAUUCUCCCCACACACCGGAGCCGUCUUACCCUUACCCGUCACACUACCCGCUAACGAUAAAUCAGAAAAAUAUUCUGUUACCUUUACCUCAGAUUGCGGCAUGGAUAUACGCACAUAUCGUAUAUUGUUUAUAGAAAAUGAUCAGGUUACAUCGAAUGUAUUUGUAUCGGGUACCUUUUGAGUUUUUUAUUUAUGGAUAUUUUUUUUAUAUAUGAAGAACUUUUUUCUUUUCACCUGUUAAUGAUUUGAUGUGAUAGUUUUUAUAUUUCGAUGUUUUUCCUGGUCUAUUAUAAUUUUAAUUUAAUUGAGAAUACAUACUCCAUUCGUGAA
rnacentral:sRNA from 1 species